CUGGGACUCCCUGUAGGUGGAGUCAGACUCCUAGGUUAGGAUCGGCCCCUCCGGAACGUCAGGACGCACGUGGUCCGGCAUUACAAGGUGAAGCGGGAGGGCCCCAAGUACGUGAUCGAUGUGGAACAGCCGUUCUCUUGCACCUCCCUGGACGCCGUGGUCAACUAUUUCGUGUCGCAUACCAAAAAGGCGCUGGUGCCAUUCCUGUUAGACGAGGACUACGAGAAGGUGCUAGGUGGGUGCGCCUUCGGGGAGUUCGGGGGCCCAGUGCUCACCUCUCCCGCCCCCGCUCGGACGGACCGGGCCGCCCCUGGCCGCCGCGCUUUC
rnacentral:lncRNA from 1 species